rnacentral:rRNA from 1 species
GGGCCAGUAGGUCGGUCGUGCCACUGGUAUGAACUGGUUUUACUGAUUCCUCCCUCUUGAAGAACUGUAAUGCCAUUAAUUUGGUGUUGCAGGGAAUCAGGACUGUUACUUUGAAAAAAUUAGAGUGUUUAAAGCAGGCCUAUGCUUGAAUACAUUAGCAUGGAAUAAUAGAAUAGGACGUUUGAUUCUAUUUUGUUGGUUUCUAGGAUUGACGUA